UGGUGAUCUUGCGGAGGUGGAGUUCAUAGGAAGUUCUACAGUGCUUGUGCCAGAAAAACGUCGGUGCUACGGUACGUGUGAGACGAAGGAGCGUUUGCUGACGACGUCUUGAAAGGCUAUGCGGAUUCUGGAGGCAUCCCUACACCCCGCAGGAACCUUCUCCACUGCUGGAAGCUGGGAAGCACAACGAUAAAGCACCUGAUCUGCAUGCUUUCACAAAGGUGGACCUUGGGGAAGGAAUCCUCCUUGAUGAGGCCACGCUGGCACGACUGCAGCGAGACGCAAAAACUCAGACUCAAGAUGUGCACGGGGCGUCCUGAAGGUUCUUUUCAGCCCAGAAGAGUUAGAGCACAAGUCUCUAUUUGGGCGGCGUUCCAAUGCCCACAAAGAUGUCGCCCAAGAAGUGGCUUCGGACCGAAGGCGUGUGAACGCCAUUCUGAGCUACACAGCAAGGCACUUCGACACUGCGGAGAUCAAAAACAUGUCAUCGAUGCUUGCGCGCAGGCGUUGAAAUGUGCUAAAUAAAUGUUGCUUUUAAAAAAUAU
rnacentral:lncRNA from 1 species